ACACACAUAUCUGUACAUAUAUGUGUGUAUAUAUACGUACACACAUAUAUGUACAGAUAUGUGUGUA
rnacentral:pre_miRNA from 13 species